CUCACAGUCUUAACUCACAGUUAACUGUCAUAUUGCUCAGCAUAGUGUACUUUUAUCAUUUUGUGCCCCCUAGUGUAGAUCAUUGACACUGAUAUUACCUUUGUUUUUUAGUAGUUUCCACUGUUUUUGAUAAUUUGUUACUAUGAAAUAUCUUGUUCCCUGUUUCACAGAUUUUUCCAUUUAUUAUUAUUUAUUUUAUUUUGUUUAUUUAUGAUUGGAUAGAGACAAAGGGAAAUGGAGAGGGGAAGGGGAUAUUGAUAGAGGGAAAGAGACAGAGAGACACCAGCAGCCCUACUUCACUACUCUUGAAGCUUUCCCCUUGCAGGUGGAAACCAAGGGCUUGAACCCAGAUCCUCACACACCAUAAUGUGCUUAACCGGUUGUGCCACUGUCCGCCCUCCCCCCAUUUUUUUUUUACUAGUGAUUUAAUAAUGAUUGACAAGAUUGAGGGGUAAAAUUCCACACAAUUCCCACAGUUUCCUAUCCCAUCCCCUCCAUUAGAAGCUUCUCUAAUCUUUAUCCCUCUGGAGUGUGGACCAAAGAUCUUUAUGGAGUGCAGAAGGUGGGAGGUCUGGCUUCUGUAAUUGCUUCUCUGCUGAACAUGGGUGUUGACAGGUUGAUCCAUACCCCCAGCCUGUUUCUAUUUCCCUACUAUCAUAGGGCUCUAAGGAGAUGGAGUUCCAGAACUCACUGGUGAGGUCAUCUGCCCAGGAAAGUCAGGUAUAGCAGCUUCCUAGAGAUUGCUUAUAUGAAUAUGAAUCCUAAAGCCCAGGUUUGCUAUAUUUUGAUCACUUCUCUCUAAAAUCUGUACAUUAAAACAAAAUAUACCUUUGUCAGAAUUCAGAUUAGUGAAAAUUACCAAUUUUCAGGUUAAGCUACAUUGUAUAUAGUUAGGAAAUACUACUAUGGUAAUAUGUACAAUAUUAAAUGUAAUACAUUAGAUAUUAUAUAAAUGUCAUGUAUGUGUUAUGUAAAUUGAUGUACAAUGUAUAUUAUACUAUAAUAUAUCCAAGUUCAUGUGAACAAAAUUCUACCUUGCAUCCUUGCUUAUGAAUAUUGUGGGAAAAAUACUAACAAUUUCUAUAGCACGUAGAACUUCAGACUGUAUCUAAAGUGCUUUAGAUUUUCUUUCCUAAAUCAAUUUUUUCAUUUUUAAUUAAAUAAUUUCUCUAUUUAAGUGCUGUUACUUCAUAUACGCCUAAUUAUAGAUCUGUACUUUCCAUUAUAUGAUAUGAAGGCUAUAUGAGUGAGAUAACCUAUUCUCUCUUCUGCUCCAAAGGAGAAUGUUUUCCUGUGCUAACAUGUAAUUUGCUGUGUAACAGUUACUGCUAUUUGUAAGCAGAUCUUGUGAUCACAAACACAGCUGAAUUUAGAAUCUGUUGAGAUCACAGAAGUCUGCAUGACUCUAAAUUUCAUUUACUUAAUAAUUUAAAUUUAUAACUUUAAAAAAUUUUAUUUAUUUUCCCUUUUUGUUGCCCUUGUUUUUAUUAUUGUUGUGCGUACUAUUGUUGUUAUUGAUGUUGCCAGAUAGGACAGAGAGAAAUGGAAAAAGGGGGAGAAGACAGAGAUGGGGAGAGAAGGAUAGACACCUGCAGACCUGCUUCACUGCUUGUGACCCCCCCCCCCCACAGGUGGGAAGCCAGAGCUUAAGCUGGUUUUUGAGUUUCACACCACGUGCACUUAACCUGCUGUGCUACAGCCCGACCCCCAAAUUCAAAAAAUUUUAAAAGUUCAAAUACAUCUACCCAAAUCAUUCAUUUUUUGAAAUGUACUUUAGAUAAGUCUUUCAAAGUGUUUUUGAUUCAAAUGGCUGUUUUAUGUAUUAUUUUAUUUUCUCAACCUUGCAUUUUCCUGAACUUAUCAGAUGUAUUAUCUGUGGAUUCUAUUUUUAAAAAGUAGAUGCCAAAUGUCUUCUACUAUUGACUGUUUAAGAAGUUAUACCUAGAGGAAUAUGUGACCUUAUCUCCUCUCCAGACUUUGAGUAAAAAAUUGUAGGUAUAUAUGUGACUGGCUUCUUUUAUCAAUCCUUACAGAAAAAAAAUUAUUAAUAUUUCUUGCCUCUUAUUUAUAAUUUGAUCUACUUUUUAUUUAACUAUGUACAGAAAAGCUCAACCUGUAAUUACAUAGUAAGCAGAAAAUCAUUUUGUUUAAUUUAUCUAAAGUAUAUUUUUUAGUUCAAAUAUUAAUAAUUGAUGUGUUUUUCCUGUAUUGCUUAAACACAUUCUUUUAUUUGUACCAAAUUUUAAGCCUAGCCUAUAAGAUAAACAUCAAAGGACAUUAAAAUAGUGGCUAUAUAUAUUUAUUUCGUUGAAGUGUUAUUUAAAUUUUUCCAGGCCAGUGAGAUAGCUCACCUGCAACAAUACCUGUUUUCUCAUGCAAAUGAUCCAGGUUUGAGCCCCCAACUGACAGGUAGCAGUGAGGGACAUUAUGGUCCUAUGGAAUCUCACUCUCUCUCUAUGUAUCUUUCUUUAUACUAUCUGAAAAUUGUCCUAUAGCAGUGAAGACACAGUAACUGUUCUUCUUCUUAAGAAGGAUGAAUCAAGAUAUUAGGGUCAAUUUUAGCCAAUGAGAACAAAUAGCUCCUGAGACAAAUGACAAUAGUCAACUGACUGUUCCAUUUACCAUCACUAUUAAUUCAAAUGUACAUUUGGGAAAGUUGUUUUGUAUAACUUAGAAAGGAUAGAUGUCUUUUCAGUUGUCUUGAGUUCUCUUUUUUUUUCCCCCCUUAGCAAAUAGGGUACAACCAUAUCUCAUCUUGAUAUGACUUAAAUACUGCUGAGAAUGAAGGAAAUUGCCCAGUGUGACAGUCAGUUCCUUUUGGUCACCAGGUUCUAAAAGAAAAAAAAAAGUCUACAAAUUCCUUGGAUUUAGAGGCAAUGAUUUCUAAUUUUUUUUGCUCCUCCUUUGGUUCAGAGUAUGUUCAUCUGGAAAACAUUUAGCCAUUUCUGAAGAUAUUUCAAAAUAAGGCAACCCUUGGUCCACUGGCUGCGUCUCACAAAAGGUCAAAUAUAUGACCAACUGAGGCAUAACAUUUCUAAGCCAUAUGGAAAAAAUAAUUGACUAAAUGGGAUCCUGGACACUUGAAAGAAUAGGCAUAUCUUUUAAAAAGAAAUAUGUUCUCUCACAAAGAUAAUGUUUUCAUAAAUUUAAAACUUCUCAAAAGCUGAAUAAAAAUAUUAAGUGAAACACGACACCAUUUCUAUAGAUGUUUGCCAAAUUUAUUUGCCAUGGUUUGGCUUUAAAUUAUCAUUGUGUGUUGAACAGAGCUGAUUUUUUUUUUAACGUUAAGACCUGAAUAAUAAUUCAUUUCCAAAAUGGCUAUCUAAGGAAAGUAAUAGUAAAUUACAUAAUUUUUCAAUAAUUAUUAUUUAACAGAAGAAAUUUCUCCUUAUUUCCCAAGAACCAGCAUGAGAGGCCAUCAAAAAGCUCACUUGGAUAAUGUGCUGCUUUGCCAUGCACACAACCCAGGUUCCAGUCUAACUCCCACAGUACUGAAGGAAGCUCUGGUCUCUUUCAUUCUCUCUUUGCCUCUCUGCCUCCACCUUAAAAAAGAACAACAAUAAGGUGAGAAAGUAGCAUUGGCUUCAAGAAAGCUACCCAUUUAUAUAGAUUGCGAGACAGACAUUAUUGCCAAACAUUACAUUUUAUGGUGAAAGUUUCGUACAGCCAAAAUAAUUUUGCUAUUUUCCUGGAUAAUAAUUUAGUCAAGUAAAAAAAGAAAGUGAAUAUUCCUUGCUAAAGGAAGCUAAUUAAAUCAGAGUGUCACCAAUAACAUUUCUUCCAAACUAUUGAAUAUUAUGUUGCUCAUAUAUUUAUCUUUUAUCCAAAUUCUGACUUGAGAGAGAAAUAUCUGGGAGUUUUAUGAGUUUUGCAUCUUGAAUACUGUAGUUUAGAGAGGACACAAGGCCACAGAGAUUGCUUUUUAUCUACUUACUUACAGAAAUAGUCAUGUUAAAAGAACUUUCCCCACAUGGAAGUCCAAGGUAAAACAAAACAAAAUCUUGAAAAAUACUCCAGGUAUACAUAGUGUUCUAUAUUAUAUAGAGAAAAACACUGACAUACUUAAUAUUUGUAAUAAAAAUGAGUGUUUUAUACUAUAAAUUGUUUCUAGUCUACACCUCUGGUUUUAAUUAGCCAUCCCCAAACUCCAUGCUUUAGGUCAGAUGGGGUCAGAAAGAACAUAAAUGGCUUACCUCAAGCCAACCACAAUUAGAGAAUAAGUUAAAGCAUAUGCUUUUUUGUGCUCCAGAUGUAACAUGUUUUUAGGAAAGAUAACCUGCAGUACCAGAAUUAUUAUUUUACUUUCAACAAUACAUCAGAGUAGAAUUCCAUGUGAAUGAAAUGAGGAAGCCUAGUUGGAGUUUUGAUAAAUAGAAAAUACAGAAUUCGGUUGUUCUUAAUAAUGAUGGAUUUCUUUCCAUCUUUAGACCAUUUAAAUUACUGAAAAGCUGAGUUAAGACACCGUUAAAGAUUAUGCAAAACUAUUGUAGGUUGAGAUUUCAGAGGAUUUAUAUGAAUCUCUAGUAAUUGACAUAAAAUGUUUGCUAAGUGACUUAAUGUAUAUUAAACUAAUACCUUAAAAAGAUAACUUCAAAUGUCUAUAAAUCUAGCACUAAUGUUAGCUUACCAUUCAAAGCAAUUAAUUCAUGAUGAAGAGAUUCUUUCAGGAUUGUCUUAACUUUGUCUUUUAUUGAUGAAAAUAAAAAUAUAAUUUGGGGCCGGCUGGUGGAGCACCUGGUUGAAUGCACAUGUUAUAAUGCACAAGGACACAGGUUCUAGCCCUCAUUUCCCACUUAAAAAAUAAAAGAGCGGUCCGGGAGGUGGCACAGUGAGAAGGCUUUGGUCCUGAGUUCGAUCCCUGGCAGCACAUGUGCCAGAGUAAUGUCUGGUUCUUUCUCUCGCCUCCUGUCUUUCUCAUUAGUAAAUAAAUAAAUAAAUAAAAUCUUAAAAAAAAAACAUGAAAGGCAGUCAGGCGGUAGCACAGAAGUAGGUGGCACAAAGCACAAGGACUGGCUUAAAGAUCCCGGUUCCAGCCCCCGGUUCCCCACCUGUAGGGGAGUCACUUCACAAGCGGUGAAGCAAGUCUGCAAGUGUCUUUCUCUCCCCCUCUGUCUUGCCCUCCUCUCUCCAUUUCUCUCUGUCCUAUCCAACAACAAUGACAACAAUAAUAACUACAACAAUAAAACAACAAAGGCAACAAAAGAGAAUAAACAUGAAAAAAUAUUAAUUUGAGGCUCAGCAGUGGUUCAUAUAGUUUGCAUAUAUGAACCCUUGGACUCAAUGUUAAUCACCAUUAAAGUUAACUAGAAAAAAAAUUCAUUUGAAGAAUAUUUUUAUUAGUGAUUUAACAAUAUUUUAUAAAAUGUAAGAUUUUUUAAAAGAUUUAUUGGGGAAUUAAUGGUUUACAGUGGACAGUAAAUUACAGUAGUUUGUACAUGUGUAACAUUUCUGUUUUCCACACAUAACAAUUCAACCCCCACUAGGUCCUCCUCUAUCUUGUUCCAGGACCCAAAAAAUCUAAGAUUUUUCUCUCUGAUACACACACACACACACACACACUGUAGUUCUCACAAAGUCCAAGAGACUAUUUGGUUACUUUUUUUUAAAAAAUAUUUUAUUUAUUUAUUCCCUUUUGUUGCCCUUGUUGUUUUAUUGUUGUAGUUAUUAUUGUUGUUGUCGUUGUCGGAUAGGACAGAGAGAAAUGGAGAGAGAAGGGGAAGACAGAGAGGAGGAGAGAAAGAUAGACACCUGCAGACCUGCUUCACUGCCUGUGAAGCGACUCCCCUGCAGGUGGGGAGCCGGGGUUGGAACCGGGAUCCUUAUGCCGGUCCUUGUGCUUUGCGCCACCUGCGCUUAACCCGCUGUGCUAUAGCCCGACUCCCACUUUUUUUUUUUGCAAGUUCAUUUGUGAAGAGUAUUUUUUAACUUACUAAAGACAACUUUUUUUUUUCAGUUCACCCCUAUUUAGACUCUGUGUGGUUAUCUAUUUUAGAAUAUUAGGAAUAUUUUGAUUGUCCUAAUGAAGACUAUUAAAAGUUUUAUGGUUCUUUCAUUUCCUAGUCUUCCAGGAAUUCCUGGAGCUAAGCUUAAUACCUGGUUAUAUUUCUUAUUAAGUUGGAUGUUUUUAUAGUAUUCUUUCUUGUUUCCAUUUUGAUUUUUGUAGCAUAAUCAAUUUCAGAAGAAAGUGUGGUACAUUAAUAAUGUUAAUUUUAUUCUUAGUCCUUAUCUUCAUUAUUCUUUGCACUUGCAAUAUUACUGAGUACUUCUUGGAACUCUCUUUUUAAAAUUUCUUUAUUGGGGGGAUUAAUGGUUUAUAGUCAACAGUAAAAUAUAAUAGUUUGUACAUGCAUAACAUUUUCUAGUUUUCCACGUAACAAUACAACCCCCCACUAGGUGCUCCUCUGCCAUCAUGUUCUUGGAACUUUUUAUUCUACCCAUAUAGAUGUAAUAAAAUUCUAGAGAUUAAGUGA